rnacentral:rRNA from 1 species
UACGUAGGGGGCAAGCGUUGCCCGGAUUUAUUGGGCGUAAAGAGCGUGUAGGCGGCCAGGUAGGUCUGCUGUGAAAACUCGAGGCUUAACCUCGAGCUGUCGGCGGAAACCAUCUGGCUAGAGUCCGGAAGAGGAGAAUGGAAUUCCCGGUGUAGCGGUGAAAUGCGCAGAUAUCGGGAAGAACACCCGUGGCGAAGGCGGUUCUCUGGGACGGUACUGACGCUGAGACGCGAAAGCGUGGGGAGCGAACAGG